rnacentral:rRNA from 1 species
AGUGGCGAACGGGUGAGUAACACGUGGGCACCUGCCCCUGACUCUGGGAUAACUACUCGAAAGAGUAGCUAAUACCGGAUAUGGAGACACCUUGAAAGUUUUUCGGUCAGGGAUGGGCCCGCGGCCUAUCAGCUAGUUGGUGAGGUAGUGGCUCACCAAGGCGACGACGGGUAGCCGGCCUGAGAGGGCGACCGGCCACACUGGGACUGAGACACGGCCCAGACUCCUACGGGAGGCAGCAGUGGGGAAUAUUGCGCAAUGGGCGAAAGCCUGACGCAGCAACGCCGCGUGCGGGAUGAAGGCCUUCGGGUUGUAAACCGCUUUCAGCAGGGAAGAAGCGAAAGUGACGGUACCUGCAGAAGAAGCACCGGCUAACUACGUGCCAGCGGCCGCGGUAAUACGUAGGGUGCAAGCGUUGUCCGGAUUUAUUGGGCGUAAAGAGCUCGUAGGCGGUUAGUCACGUCGGAUGUGAAAACUCAGUGCUUAACACUGAGCCUGCAUUCGAUACGGGCUGACUAGAGUAUUGUAGGGGAGACUGGAACUCCUGGUGUAGCGGUGAAAUGCGCAGAUAUCACGAAGAACACCGGUGGCGCGCGGGUCUCUGGGCAAUUACUGACGCUGAAGAGCGAAAGUGUGGGGAGCAAACAGGAUAGAUACCCUGGCAGUCCACACCGA